rnacentral:rRNA from 1 species
UACAGAGGGGCAAGCGUUGUUCGGAAUUACUGGGCGUAAAGGGCGCGUAGGCGGCCUCUUAAGUCGAACGUGAAAUCCCCGGGCUCAACCCGGGAACUGCGUCCGAUACUGGGAGGCUUGAAUCCGGGAGAGGGAUGUGGAAUUCCAGGUGUAGCGGUGAAAUGCGUAGAGAGUCGGCAGGAACACCCAGGGGGAAACCAGCCGACUGGGCAUCUACUGACGCUGAGGUGCGAGAGCGUGGGGAGCGAACGG